rnacentral:rRNA from 1 species
GACGAACGCUGGCGGCGUGCUUAACACAUGCAAGUCGAACGAAGUGGCGAACGGGUGAGUAACGCGUAAUCAACCUGCCCUUCAGAGGGGGACAACAGUUGGAAACGACUGCUAAUACCACAUACUGAAGGAGGGGAUUGAGUCUGAUUAGCUAGUUGGAGGGGCAACGGCCCACCAAGGCGAUGGUCAGUCGCCGGUCCGAGGGGGUGCACGGCUACAUUGGGACUGAGACACGGCCCAGACUCCUACGGGAGGCAGCAGUGGGGAAGCUUCCGCAAUGGACGAAAGUCUGACGGGGCAACGCUGCUUGAGUGAUGACAGCCUUCGGGUUGUAAAGCUCUGUUAAUCGGGACGCGGUACCGGAAUAGAAAGCCACGGCUAACUACGUGCCAGCCGCCGCGGUAAUAC